UGUAAGCGUAUACCAAAGUUGUUGCAGUUAAAACGCUCGUAGUCGGAAUUUGGCAGUUCCGGAUGUGUGCACGUCGUGUGCGCACUUCGCGGGGAUUGCUUUUGUGGUCUUGCGUAGGAUGAGGCACUUUUAUUAGUGAACGUCCUCACGCAACCACUUUUUACUGUGAGAAAAUCAGAGUGCUCAAAGCAGGCGUUUGCCGUGAAUGUAUUAGCAUGGAAUAAUAGAAUAGGACUUGGUUCUAUUUUGUUGGUUUGUUGGGACUGAGUAAUGAUUAAGAGGGACAGUUGGGGGCAUUUGUAUUUCGGUGCUAGAGGUGAAAUUCUUAGAUUACCGAAAGACAAACUGCUGCGAAAGCGUCUGCCAAGGAUGUUUUCAUUGA
rnacentral:rRNA from 1 species